AUUGUAAACAAUCAAAUUUAAUUUGAUGUUUAUAAAAAAUUAUGUAUGUGAACAUACAUUCUGUCAUCUAUAUGUGUCUGUAAUCCAUUAGCUUAUUUACAAUGAUCAAAGAAUAGAAGUGUGAAUAAAUCAGAAUGGCACAUGAUUGAAAAUGCUGUGUAACUGAAGAUGCAUUUGUGUAGUCUUGAGGAAUUUCAUUUGAAACAAAAUUGUUAGUCUAUAUCUUGAAGCACAUUGCUACUUUGUAUUUUUAUUGAUGUAUAAUUAACAUUCAAUAAAAUGCACAUAAUAUCCAG
rnacentral:sRNA from 1 species